ensembl:lncRNA
UCUGAUUAUCAAGAAGCUUUAUUGUCUUCAUCAGAUUGAACAUCAUCAUCUUCCUCUUCAUCAUCGUCACCAUCAUCAUCCUCCUCAUUAUAGUCAUCAUUCUCAAUAUCCUCAUCAUCUUCAUCAUCACCAUCAUCCUCCUUACCACCACCACUACCAUCAUCACCAUCUUCAUCAUCAACACCUGUGUGCUGGACGUCAGGAGGCUGUUAACAUGCAGCUGAGCCGGGCAGACAGACAGGAAGACAGACGGAUAACGGAGGAAACAGACAGACAGACAGAGGUAGGUCAGACAGAACGGACGCCAAAGGGGGGCAGAGAGGUAGACAGCUGGGCAGGUAGUCAAGUAGGGGAACAGACAGGUGGUCGUCAGGCAGAGACAGGCAGGUAGAUAUGAGGACUGUCUCAGGUAGUCACAGACAGACAGGUGGUCGUCAGGCAGAGACAGGCAGGUAGAUAUGAGGACUGUCUCAGGUAGUGGCAGACAGACAGGUGGUCGUCAGGCAGAGACAGGCAGGUAGAUAUGAGGACUGUCUCAGGUAGUCGCAGACAGACAGGUGGUCGUCAGGCAGAGACAGGCAGGUAGAUAUGAGGACUGUCUCAGGUAGUCGCAGACAGACAGGUGGUCGUCAGGCAGAGACAGGCAGGUAGAUAUGAGGACUGUCUCAGGUAGUCGCAGACAGACAGGUGGUCGUCAGGCAGAGACAGGCAGGUAGAUAUGAGGACUGUCUCAGGUAGUCGCAGACAGACAGGUGGUCGUCAGGCAGAGACAGGCAGGUAGAUAUGAGGACUGUCUCAGGUAGUCGCAGACAGACAGGUGGUCGUCAGGCAGAGACAGGCAGGUAGAUAUGAGGACUGUCUCAGGUAGUCGCAGACAGACAGGUGGUCGUCAGGCAGAGACAGGCAGGUAGAUAUGAGGACUGUCUCAGGUAGUAGCAGACAGACAGGUGGUCGUCAGGCAGAGACAGGCAGGUAGAUAUGAG